rnacentral:rRNA from 1 species
ACCGAAAACCUAAGGUUUCCCGGGGAAGGUUCGUCCGCCCGGGGUUAGUCGGAACCUAAGGCGAGGCCGAAAGGCGUAGUCGAUGGAGGACAGGUUAAUAUUUCUGUACCACCUUGUCGGAGUGAUGGAGGGACGCAGAAAGUCAGGUGAGCCAACUGCUGAACAUGUUGGUCGAAGGCCGUAGGAUGCACCAUAGGCAAAUCCGUGGUGCGCAAGUCCGAGAGUCGUAAGGUAUUCGGAGGCAACUCUGGAGAAUUCACUGUGACUACACUGACGAGAAAAGCUUCUAAACGUCGAUGACAGGGUGACCGUACCGAAACCGACACAGGUAGGUGAGGCGAGUAGCCUAAGGUGCGCGAGAGAAACCAACGUUAAGGAACUCGGCAAAUUGACCCCGUAACUUCGGAAUAAGGGGUGCCGCUUCCGGUGAAGGGACUUGCUCCCGGAGCUCGAGGCGGUUGCAACAAAGAGGCUGGUGCGACUGUUUAACAAAAACACAGCUCUAUGCUAACUCGCAAGAGGAUGUAUAUGGAGUGACACGUGACCAAUGCCAAAAGGUCAAUGGGAGAGGUUAGCGCAAGCGAAGCUUCGAUCUGAAGCCCUGGUGAAUGUCGGCCGUAACUAUAACGGUCCUAAGGUAGCGAAAUUCCUUGUCGGGUAAGUUCCGACCUGCACGAAUCGUGUAACGAUGCCAGCACUGUCUCAACGUGGAUCUCGGCGAAGUUGUAAUUCCGGUGAAGAUGCCGGAUACCUGCGGAAGGACGGAAAGACCCCAUGAACCUUUACUGUAAUCUGAUAUUGGUAUUUGAUUGCUUCUGUGUAGCAUAGGUGGGAGGCUGUGAAGCCGCUACGCCAGUACCGGUGGAGCCACAGGUGAAAUACCACCCUGAUGUAAUUAGAUAUCUAACCUCUUCCCGUGAAUCCGGGCGAGGGACCGUGUCAGAGGGUCAGUUUGACUGGGGCGUUUUCCUCCUAAAUUGUAACGGAGGAGCCCGAAGGUACACUCAGCACGGUUGGCAAUCGUGUGCAGAGCGUAAGGGUAUAAGUGUGCUUUACUGUAAGACCGACGGGUCGAGCAGUUGCGAAAGCAGGGCCUAGUGAUCCAGCGAUGGAAUGUGGAAUCGUCGUUGCUCAACGGAUAAAAGGUACUCUGGGGAUAACAGGCUGAUAGCGCCCAAGCGUCCAUAGCGACGGCGCUGUUUGGCACCUCGAUGUCGACUCAUCACAUCCUGGGGCUGUAGAAGGUCCCAAGGGUUCGGCUGUUCGCCGAUUAAAGUGGUACGCGAGUUGGGUUCAGAACGUCGUGAGACAGUUCGGUCCUUAUCCUCCGCAGGCGCAGGAUAUUUGAUGGGAUCAUUCCUUAGUACGAGAGGACCGGGAAUGACUGACCUCUGGUGUUCCGGUUGUGGCGUCAGCUGCAUUGCCGGGUAGCUAUGUCGGGAACGGAUAAGCGCUGAAAGCAUCUAAGCGCCAAGCCCACCCAAAGACGAGAUAUCCCUCCCCGCAAGGGGCUGAAGGCUGGUCGAAGACUACGACCUCGAUAGGAUGGAGGUGUAAGUACAGCAAUGUAUUCAGCUUACCAUUACUAAUCAGCCGUGAGGCUUAACCAC